GGGUUGUGAGGUUAAGCGACUAAGCGUACACGGUGGAUGCCCUGGCAGUCAGAGGCGAUGAAGGACGUGCUAAUCUGCGAAAAGCGCCGGCGAGGUGAUAUGAACCUUUGACCCGGCGAUGUCCGAAUGGGGAAACCCAGUGUGUUCCGACACACUAUCGUUAACUGAAUACAUAGGUUAACGAGGCGAACCGGGGGAACUGAAACAUCUAAGUACCCCGAGGAAAAGAAAUCAACCGAGAUUCCCCCAGUAGCGGCGAGCGAACGGGGAGCAGCCCAGAGUCUGAAUCAGCUUGUGUGUUAGUGGAAGCGUCUGGAAAGUCGCACGGUACAGGGUGACAGUCCCGUACACGAAAGCACACAGGUUGUGAACUCGAAGAGUAGGGCGGGACACGUGGUAUCCUGUCUGAAUAUGGGGGGACCAUCCUCCAAGGCUAAAUACUCCUGACUGACCGAUAGUGAACCAGUACCGUGAGGGAAAGGCGAAAAGAACCCCGGCGAGGGGAGUGAAAAAGAACCUGAAACCGUGUACGUACAAGCAGUGGGAGCCUCUUUUAUGGGGUGACUGCGUACCUUUUGUAUAAUGGGUCAGCGACUUAUAUUCUGUAGCAAGGUUAACCGUAUAGGGGAGCCGAAGGGAAACCGAGUCUUAACUGGGCGUUAAGUUGCAGGGUAUAGACCCGAAACCCGGUGAUCUAGCCAUGGGCAGGUUGAAGGUUGGGUAACACUAACUGGAGGACCGAACCGACUAAUGUUGAAAAAUUAGCGGAUGACUUGUGGCUGGGGGUGAAAGGCCAAUCAAACCGGGAGAUAGCUGGUUCUCCCCGAAAGCUAUUUAGGUAGCGCCUCGUGAACUCAUCUUCGGGGGUAGAGCACUGUUUCGGCUAGGGGGCCAUCCCGGCUUACCAACCCGAUGCAAACUACGAAUACCGAAGAAUGUUAUCACGGGAGACACACGGCGGGUGCUAACGUCCGUCGUGAAGAGGGAAACAACCCAGACCGCCAGCUAAGGUCCCAAAGUCAUGGUUAAGUGGGAAACGAUGUGGGAAGGCACAGACAGCCAGGAUGUUGGCUUAGAAGCAGCCAUCAUUUAAAGAAAGCGUAAUAGCUCACUGGUCGAGUCGGCCUGCGCGGAAGAUGUAACGGGGCUAAACCAUGCACCGAAGCUGCGGCAGCGACGCUUAUGCGUUGUUGGGUAGGGGAGCGUUCUGUAAGCCGUUGAAGGUGUCCUGUGAGGGGUGCUGGAGGUAUCAGAAGUGCGAAUGCUGACAUAAGUAACGAUAAAGCGGGUGAAAAGCCCGCUCGCCGGAAGACCAAGGGUUCCUGUCCAACGUUAAUCGGGGCAGGGUGAGUCGACCCCUAAGGCGAGGCCGAAAGGCGUAGUCGAUGGGAAACAGGUUAAUAUUCCUGUACUUGGUGUUACUGCGAAGGGGGGACGGAGAAGGCUAUGUUAGCCGGGCGACGGUUGUCCCGGUUUAAGCAUGUAGGCGGAGGUUCCAGGUAAAUCCGGUUCCUUGUUAACGCUGAGGUGUGAUGACGAGGCACUACGGUGCUGAAGUAACAAAUGCCCUGCUUCCAGGAAAAGCCUCUAAGCAUCAGGUAACAUCAAAUCGUACCCCAAACCGACACAGGUGGUCAGGUAGAGAAUACCAAGGCGCUUGAGAGAACUCGGGUGAAGGAACUAGGCAAAAUGGUGCCGUAACUUCGGGAGAAGGCACGCUGAUAUGUAGGUGAAGUCCCUGCGGAUGGAGCUGAAAUCAGUCGAAGAUACCAGCUGGCUGCAACUGUUUAUUAAAAACACAGCACUGUGCAAACACGAAAGUGGACGUAUACGGUGUGACGCCUGCCCGGUGCCGGAAGGUUAAUUGAUGGGGUUAGCGGCAACGCGAAGCUCUUGAUCGAAGCCCCGGUAAACGGCGGCCGUAACUAUAACGGUCCUAAGGUAGCGAAAUUCCUUGUCGGGUAAGUUCCGACCUGCACGAAUGGCGUAAUGAUGGCCAGGCUGUCUCCACCCGAGACUCAGUGAAAUUGAACUCGCUGUGAAGAUGCAGUGUACCCGCGGCAAGACGGAAAGACCCCGUGAACCUUUACUAUAGCUUGACACUGAACACUGGUCCUUGAUGUGUAGGAUAGGUGGGAGGCUUUGAAGCGUGGACGCCAGUCUGCGUGGAGCCAACCUUGAAAUACCACCCUUUAAUGGCUGGUGUUCUAACGUAGACCCGUGAUCCGGGUUGCGGACAGUGUCUGGUGGGUAGUUUGACUGGGGCGGUCUCCUCCCAAAGAGUAACGGAGGAGCACGAAGGUUAGCUAAUCCUGGUCGGACAUCAGGAGGUUAGUGCAAUGGCAUAAGCUAGCUUGACUGCGAGAGUGACGGCUCGAGCAGGUGCGAAAGCAGGUCAUAGUGAUCCGGUGGUUCUGAAUGGAAGGGCCAUCGCUCAACGGAUAAAAGGUACUCCGGGGAUAACAGGCUGAUACCGCCCAAGAGUUCAUAUCGACGGCGGUGUUUGGCACCUCGAUGUCGGCUCAUCACAUCCUGGGGCUGAAGUAGGUCCCAAGGGUAUGGCUGUUCGCCAUUUAAAGUGGUACGCGAGCUGGGUUUAGAACGUCGUGAGACAGUUCGGUCCCUAUCUGCCGUGGGCGCUGGAGAAUUGAGGGGGGCUGCUCCUAGUACGAGAGGACCGGAGUGGACGCAUCACUGGUGUUCGGGUUGUCAUGCCAAUGGCACUGCCCGGUAGCUAAAUGCGGAAGAGAUAAGUGCUGAAAGCAUCUAAGCACGAAACUUGCCCCGAGAUGAGUUCUCCCUGAGACUUUAAGUCUCCUGAAGGAACGUUGAAGACUACGACGUUGAUAGGUCGGGUGUGUAAGCGCAGCGAUGCGUUGAGCUAACCGAUACUAAUGAACCGUGAGGCUUAACCUUACAACGCCGAAGCUGUU
rnacentral:rRNA from 1 species